ensembl:rRNA 5S_rRNA 5S ribosomal RNA
UGCUACAGCCAUGUCACUUGAACACAUCAGAUCUCAUCUGAUCUUGGAAGCUAAGCAGGGUAAGACCUGGUUAGUACUUGGGUGAGAGUAAUGAUGAUUUAAACAGAUUCUGGAGCCA